AUAAUGCAGAGGUGGGGGACAGAGUGGGUGGGGAGGGGAGCCGCCAUACAGUGGCCAGGACCAGCUUUGCCCAAGUGGUGGCAACCGCAUGACCACAGGAACGAUGGCGUGAGCCCCGUGGCAACCUGGAGGAAGGGAAAUAAUCCAGGAUCCAUUUCGUGUGGUCAUCUUGUCUCCCUGGUCCCCUCCAGCCUUUCCUCAUCUUUUGUGACCUGGUCACUCUGGAAGGGCGCUGGCCAGUUAGUCCACAGGAUGGGCCUCCCCUGGGGCUUUUCUGAUGCUUCCUUAUGAUGGCACUGGCAUCCUGAGGGGGAGGACCACAGAGAGGAGGUGCUCCUCAUCACACCACAUGGGGGUCCAUGCACCAGUGCCACUGCUUUCCAGGGCUCUUCACCUUCAUCACUGGUGGAGGUGGCGUCUGCCAAGAAGCAGAAAGUUGAGGCUUAGAAGGUGCACGGCCCUACCUCUUCCGAGGUGCCCCUGCGGGCUGUCUACAGACCAGGCAGCACAUGCCUGAUAGCAGCUGCAUAAGGAAAAGCAGGAGCCAGCUCGUGCACAGUGGCCUCAAGUGUGCACUGGGCAUGUUCUCUGCCUCACCAUCCCUGUGUGACAGAUGAAGACAAGUGAGCUCAUGGAAACCUCUCCAUCGUUGACCAGGAUCUAUAGGAAAACCCUCCUCUUCUUCUAUAUGCAAAGGCUGCACAGCUCCUGGUUCACCUGCACCUCUCCAGACCACCAUGGUGCCUGCAGCUCUGAGGGCAUUUUAAAUCAUCACAGAACAACAAGCAUAUAAGCAUCAUGAGCGCCUCUGGACCUCUGACGUGCCUUGUGGAGGCCUGCCAGGCCCACGUUUUAAUUUACAUGAACUCGAUGCCCUUUUUGACAGGGAGAGAUCUGUUUCUUUAUUUGUUAGCCUUUCCCCUGGACCUGCUAGAUCUGGACCAUCCCCAGGAAAGGAAGGUCACACCACAAAGAUAAAUAUAAACAAAAUGAGUUAAUUAAGAA
rnacentral:lncRNA from 1 species